UUUCAUUGGAUGCAUCAGAAACAUUAAAUUUGGUUUCAACCAAAGUCGAUUGCACUCUGUUCAAGAUAUUCCCAGUUUGAGACAUCACGUUACCAAGGGAAACUGUAAUUUCAGUGCGCGAGGGACUGGAUAUGAGGAAGUUUCUUGUACCAAAGAUGUCGACGAAUGUAAUCUGGAAGAAGCGGUCUGUCCUUCCCAGGCUACUUGUAUAAACACGGUCGGCUCAUUUGUUUGCAAAUAUGCUGUAAAAGAUCCAAUUGAAUGUGGUUUCAACCAUGUGCGAAAUGAUCCCUGUCAACGUUUUCCAUGUUAUCCUGGCCGUGAAUGCUGGAGAAGAUCAAAUGGAAGUUUUCAAUGUGAAAAAUGCCCCCGCUUCUUUGCUGGGGACGGAGUUGAAUGUGUUUUGAAUAAAAGUCAAGAAAUUUGGACGAAAAAAGUCGAAAUCAGUUUGGAAACUACGAAAUGGCUGAAAGAAAUAAGCAACGAAUCGUCAAUAUACAACAAAAUAUUAAAUGAUCGAUUAAAAAGAAGUUGUAUCAAUUGUUUGGAAGAACGCCAGAGUUUGUCGAGGUCUUUUUUCAUGGAUUAAGAAAGGAAAGCGAUGUGAUCGAGUUGGAACUAAUGUUUACGAAAAAAAUUGAACUUAAUCGAAAACAGCUUCAAGAUAUUUCUAUCGCAGUCGUCAGUAGCAUGUCAAGCAUUUGCACGAAAGCAAUGUACAUUGAAAAGCACACUGUGUUCCCAUCAUUAACAAGAAAGGAAAACACAAUGACUAGUAGAGACUCCAUCAUAAAAGAUACAAUGAUUCAAUCAAGAAGAACGAAAACACCACGAUUUAUACAGAGUCCAUUAUGAAACACGCGAUGUUCCCAUCAACAAGAACGAAAACACCAUUACUAAUACAGAAUCCGUCAUGAAACAAACGAUCUUCCCAUCAACGACAACGAGAAACAUCACAACUAAUACAGAGUUCAUCAUGAAAGACACAAUGUUCCCAUCAAGAACAACGACAAACACCACGACCAAUACGAAAGAUGUGAAAGUCAAAAACAAUAAGAAAGAAAGCUCGGAACGAAAUAAAGCUGGGAAACGUCGGCCAAUGAUCCUUCACUUUAUUUUGGUUUUGACUUUUUUACUCAAAUAAUUUGCAUUGAGGUCAUAAACUGGGUGCUACUUUUCUAUUACGUAACGACAAAACCAAAAAUUAAAAAUAGGUACGAACGAGAACGUGCAGAUAGCCCGGAUCUUGUGAUUUUAUAUUUUCUAGUUUGGAAAACUGGAAAACCAAGCAAUGUAUAUGCUAGAAUAAUAAUGGUUUAUCUUUAUAUUUAUCAGAA